UACGUAGGGUCCUAGCGUUGUCCGGAAUUACUGGGCGUAAAGAGCUCGUAGGUGGUUUGUCGCGUUGUUCGUGAAAACUCACAGCUCAACUGUGGGCGUGCGGGCGAUACGGGCAGACUGGAGUACUGCAGGGGAGACUGGAAUUCCUGGUGUAGCGGUGGAAUGCGCAGAUAUCAGGAGGAACACCGGUGGCGAAGGCGGGUCUCUGGGCAGUAACUGACGCUGAGGAGCGAAAGCGUGGGGAGCGAACAGG
rnacentral:rRNA from 1 species